UACAGAGGUCCCAAGCGUUGUUCGGAUUCACUGGGCGUAAAGGGUGCGUAGGCGGCCGGGUAAGUCUGAUGUGAAAUCCCGCAGCUUAACUGCGGAACUGCAUCGGAUACUCUCCGGCUAGAGGAAUGGAGGGGAGACUGGAAUUCUCGGUGUAGCAGUGAAAUGCGUAGAUAUCGAGAGGAACACCAGUGGCGAAGGCGGGUCUCUGGGCCGUAACUGACGCUGAGGAGCGAAAGCAUGGGGAGCGAACAGG
rnacentral:rRNA from 1 species